rnacentral:rRNA from 1 species
UACAGAGGGUGCGAGCGUUAAUCGGAAUUACUGGGCGUAAAGCGCACGUAGGUGGCGACGUAAGUCGGGUGUGAAAGCCCCGGGCUCAACCUGGGAAUUGCAUUCGAGACUGCAUUGCUGGAGUACGGAAGAGGAGGGCGGAAUUCCCGGUGUAGCGGUGAAAUGCGCAGAUAUCAGGAGGAACACCGGUGGCGAAGGCGGGUCUCUGGGCCGAUACUGACGCUGAGGAGCGAAAGCGUGGGGAGCGAACAGG